ACGAAAACUCGGAUCAUUUCUGUGUUGUUUUCGUGAGAGCUAUAAGCUCAAUUUGUUUUCUUAGAACAUUACUUAAAUAUAUACUACUCUCCGAAUAGAUUUAUCUGAAAUGCAAUGCUAUUUGACGCAAUGAUUGGGCAUGAUUCGAGGUCAAACGAGUUUUACGCCUAGCACGUGUACCGGUCCAAUCAUAUAAUUUGCAAAACAACUUCCACUGUCAGAGCAACAGAGAGAGGCAUUGUGAAGAGUUGGAGCUUUUCUUUUCGUUGUUUUCUAGCUGUCUUUUGAUUGAGAUAUUUUUGUGGAGACUUUAUAAUAGUGCAUUGCAAGAAUACUUAGUACCUAAGCUUACUUUACUUUUUGAUCGAUAAUCCAUUUGGGCGACGAGAUCCUGAUAUUUUCUUUAUUUUAUAUAGAUUUACGAAUUAUAACUGAUGCUCAGGCUAGUGUGGGUGCGCAGUCAUAGGUAUCAAGGGGGGUGAGUGCACCCUGUGCUACCCCCUGUGUACGCGCCUGAUACUGUACAGUAAACACCUGCACAUAAGAACACACGAAUUAAGAACAUCUGGCUGAAAUUUGGCAAAAAAAAAACACCACUAAAAUAAGAACAAUGUCAGCCUGGAAAAGGAAAAAUGUUCUUAUAAAAUGGGAAGGGUGUCAAAAUCACACGAAUUACCAUAAGAACUAUAACAUGCACCCUUCUUGUUACUGUUUUGUUACAUUACUGAUUACAGUAGACCUAUUUGAACAUUAGGUUUUUAAUUAUUGUUCCAUCAAUUUAUGUUAUUGUCCAAAAACAUGAUUAAAGUUUCUAGCAACAUGUUUUUUUUUGCUGUACAACACUGAAUUAAAAAAAAAAGAACAUUUAAGAACAUCCUGAGGCUGAUUUUUCACUAAGCAUCUGAUAAAUAAGAACAUAAUCAGUCUGAUCUCUGAAAUUGUGUGUUCUUAUAUGCGGGUGUUUACUGUACCUAUAUUUACAAUAUGUUAUUGCACCACCUCAUAGCAUAAACACAUUAACUGAAGCCUUAUCAUAACUAAUGUUUGCCUGAAGUCAAUCAAACAUCCCUUUUAAAAACAAUCAAGCUCACAAAAAAUGUAAACGAAAUCAUACUGAGUGGGCUACCAAUAAACCACAUUUGAAUUGGUACUCAACCCCAUGCUUGGCUAUUGGGGUGCCACUGAGGUUUUUAAACAGAGACACUGUUAUAGGGAACAAAUCUGGGAAAAGCAUUCUCUGUUUAAGACAAAACCCCUAAAUUGUCCAACAAUUAUGCGCCCUGUUCAGGGCAUGGAGUUUGGAAACCUGCAGAAAGUACCCCCUGCUAGGGACUUCAACCAAUUGAUCAUUUAAAUUUGGCAAUCAAACCUUACCUUAACAGUAAAGUUUCCAUUGAUUGGAGUUCAAUCUCGUGUGAUUAGGGCCAGACUACACAGGCAGGUUCUCCUUGCAACACACUGAGAGGCUGUUAGGACAACAACAAGUCCAUUAUGGACAAUGCAAUAUCACUUUGCUUGACAAGCUAAGCUUGAUCCUGGAAAGAGAGGAGCUCCCAAAAAGAGAUGCCAUAGCUGCAAUGGCAGCAAUGCCCUUGCACGAAGAGUUUGUACAACGUGCAAGGCCCCUUUCCCUCCACCCAAAAAGAAGGAAAUGAGGGGGGAUGGGAAUAUCACCCACCAAAGAAGACAUCUUUUCGAUAGGGUAAGAUUAAUUAUUAUACUGUAUUGCGUAACCAUACAAAAUAAGCUUUAGAAAACAAUCUUUUUAGGAGAUUUCCCGGACAACUCCGUUAUAGGUUCAUUAGAAUUGCCAGUGAACAGGGUGGUAAAGUGUGUUUUGGUGAAACGAGAUAUGGCCGUUUUACACAGCCGAAAAACGUGAAAUCGUCCAUUUUCCAUCUCCAUGGAAAGUGAUCUAACAUGAUUUAGCAGUUUUAAGUCCACGUGAACCCAGAUCUAGCUUAUAGUUAUUUUCUAGACGCUGUUUGUCUCAGCCAGUAAAACGUGGAAAGCCAUUUUUCUGUCUGUGAAAAUGUCAUCCAUACCCCCCUUUACCACCCUUAAUGAAAGAUACCUAAUUGGACGUGGUUACCAAUAGUUUUAACCAUAAAGGUGCCAAAACUCGCUCAUUCCAAACACACUCAAUUUUUUUUACAGUGUACUCUUAUUUCCUUUCCAAAAAAUUGGUAAAAGGGCCAAAAAGUCUGCUUGUUUCAAGCUAAUUUCUUUAAAUAAUUUUUAGUGAUAAGUAACAUUUCCUGUUCUGUCUAAAGAGCUCCUGGCCGCAAAAAAAAAAAAAAAAAAAAACAGACACAAACACAAACAGAAUAUGGAGCAAUGAAAAAAGAGAGUAAGAGUGGAAUGUCUUUGACAUUAAAGAAGAAUAUUUAUUAGAGGGUGCACUGCCGAAACUGAUGUCAUCAUGUUACCAUUUUAAUUAUUAUUACUAGCUUGAGUUGUUCGCUAAAGUUUUCGAUUUUGCAGUUAAGAAAUGUUUGUCUUUGUAGUAAAGAAAUCCAACUCUUUUGAUUCCAUGUUGAACUUUUUCCUUAAUAUUUCAAUGGAUAUAUCAUACAAUGAUGGCAACGACUGCAAUACACUUAUUUCAAUUAACAUUAAAACUGGCUAAGCAUAACUGUAUAUCCGCUAUACUCGGUCAGUCCAUUAGCCGCAAAGUCUUUACAAAUGUCGAAUCAUGUUAUUUAGUAUUCUUUCUGAUCUAUCAUUUAUGCCAAACAGAUAUAUUAAGUUAUUAUAGUAAAAUAUUAAACACACUACAGUAAAUAAUUAUUUCAGCCACUUUUACUCUCAUGCUUACUCUCAUUUUUCCAGGUCUCUGAGGUAGUACACCAUGAUAAGCAGGGCACUAUUGGAACAUAAUGGCCCUGCACCAGUGCCUGUCUGUCGUGGAAUGGACUGCUUUUAUGUACAGAUAUAUCACACUCAGAACACAAAGCAGUUCUUGGUCCACAGUCUGGGCACUGUAUACUUGGCAUUUUAUUAAUACAAAGCAUGCAUGUUUGGCUGGGCAUUACUGCAAACGACCCUAGUUUAGCAUUGAAUAGCUGAAAACGCAGAGAUUCCCAGCUUUCUUGUAGUGUGAUGGAUCUUUCGCUCCAGGAAGGCCUGUGCCUGCUCUGUCCCUCCCAGUUUCUCAGCAGUUCUCUCGCUCGGCUUAAAAUAUCCGUACAAUCAUCUGCUUGCAAAUACAAAUACAAAAGGGUAAGAGGCACACUAAAUUUAAAGGUUGGGCUGUAUUUCUCUAUGCAUUUAGUAAUUCAAAUUUUCUGUUUUCAUCAUCUGUGAGUUUUACAGUUAUAAGGUUUGGAUUUUAUGUAGCCCAGUGCCGUAUCAAAUUCCACUGAAUUUGGUUUGGUGAGCAAGACAGAAAAAUCAAAUCAUGUAACAGUUAAACAUAAUUACAAAAAAAUUAAAAAUAAAAGUUAACUAAAUAAAUGAAUGGAUGGAUGAAUGAAUAAAUAAAUAAUAAAUAGCACCAUGUCUUUCUACUACAAACUAUUAGUAGAUACAUUAUUGAUACAUUUGGAAUAAAAAAAUGUCUGUUUACCUCACAAA